AUUGAACGCUGGCGGCAGGCCUAACACAUGCAAGUCGAGCGAGCGGCGGACGGGUGAGUAAUGUCUGGGAAACUGGCCGAUGGAGGGGGAUAACGACUGGAAACGGGAGCUAAUACCGGAUACCAUAAGAUGUGCCCAGAUGGGAUUAGCUAGUAGGUGGGGUAACGGCCUACCUAGGCGACGAUCCCUAGCCGGCCUGAGAGGGUGACCAGCCACACUGGAACGGGUACACGGUCCAUAGUCCUACGGUAGGCAGCAGUGGGGAAUAGUGCACAAUGGUCGCAAGCCUGAUGCAGCCAUGCCGCGUGUGUGAAGGAGGCCUUCGGGUUGGAAAGCACUUUCAGCGGGGAUGCGUUACCCGCAGAAGAAGCACCGGCUAACUCCGUGCCAGCAGCCGCGGUAAUUC
rnacentral:rRNA from 1 species